rnacentral:rRNA from 1 species
CAGCAGUGAGGAAGGCGAGUACGUUAAUAGCGUGCUCGUUUGACGUUAGCUGCAGAAGAAGCACCGGCUAACUCCGUGCCAGCAGCCGCGGUAAUACGGAGGGUGCGAGCGUUAAUCGGAAUUACUGGGCGUAAAAGCGCAUGCAGGUGGUUUGUUAAGUCAGAUGUGAAAAGCCCGGGCUCAACCUCGGAAAUUGCAUUUGAAAACUGGCAGACUAGAGUACUGUAGGAGGGGGUAGAAUUUCAGGUGUAGCGGUGAAAAUGCGUAGAGAUCUGAAGGAAUACCGGUGGCGAAGGCCGGCCCCUGGACAGAUACUGACACUCAGAUCGACGAAAGCGUGGGGAGCAAACAGGAUUAGAUACCCUGGUAG